rnacentral:rRNA from 1 species
GACGAACGCUGGCGGCGUGCUUAACACAUGCAAGUCGAACGGAAAGGCCCUGCUUGCCGGGUGCUCGAGUGGCGAACGGGUGAGUAACACGUGGGUGAUCUGCCCCUUACUUUGGGAUAAGCCUGGGAAACUGGGUCUAAUACUGGAUAGGACCAUGCUGUAGGUGGUGUGGUGGAAAGAUUAGUUUCGGUAAGGGAUGAGCUCGCGGCCUAUCAGCUUGUUGGUGGGGUAAUGGCCUACCAAGGCGUCGACGGGUAGCCGGCCUGAGAGGGUGGACGGCCACAUUGGGACUGAGAUACGGCCCAGACUCCUACGGGAGGCAGCAGUGGGGAAGAUUGCACAAUGGGGGGAAGCCUGAUGCAGCGACGCCGCGUGGGGGAUGACGGCCUUCGGGUUGUAAACUCCUUUCAGCCAUGACGAAGCCCUUGUGGUGACGGUAGUGGUAGAAGAAGCACCGGCUAACUACGUG